rnacentral:rRNA from 1 species
GACGAACGCUGGCGGCGUGCUUAACACAUGCAAGUCGAGCGGUAAGGCUCCUUCGGGGGUACACGAGCGGCGAACGGGUGAGUAACACGUGAGUAAUCUGCCUCUGGCUCUGGGAUAAGCACUCGAAAGGGUGUCUAAUACCGGAUACGACAACUCCUCGCAUGGGGUGGUUGUGGAAAGUUUUUUCGGCCAGGGAUGUGCUCGCGGCCUAUCAGCUUGGUGGUGGGGUAAUGGCCUACCAAGGCUUUGACGGGUAGCCGGCCUGAGAGGGUGACCGGUCACACUGGGACUGAGACACGGCCCAGACUCCUACGGGAGGCAGCAGUGGGGAAUAUUGGACAAUGGGCGGAAGCCUGAUCCAGCAACGCCGCGUGAGGGAUGACGGCCUUCGGGUUGUAAACCUCUUUCAGUACCGACGAAGCGACCCGUUGGGGGAGUGACGGUAGGUACAGAAGAAGCACCGGCCAACUACGUGCCAGCAGCCGCCGUAAAAC